rnacentral:rRNA from 1 species
UCGAACGGUAACAGGAGAGAGCUUGCUCUCUUGCUGACGAGUGGCGCACGGGUGAGUAAUAUAUAGAUAAUGUGCCUCUUAGUUGGAUAGCCAUUGGAAACGAUGAUUAAUACCGGAUACUCCUUUUUAUCAAAAGAUAAGUUGGGAAAGUUUUUCGCUAAGAGAUCGGUCUAUAUCCCAUCAGUUAGUUGGUAGUGUAAGAGACUACCAAGACGAUGACGGGUAGCGGGUUUGAGAGGAUGAUCCGCCACACUGGUACUGAGACACGGACCAGACUCCUACGGGAGGCAGCAGUGAGGAAUAUUGCACAAUGGAGGAAACUCUGAUGCAGCAACGCCGCGUGGAGGAUGACGCAUUUCGGUGUGUAAACUCCUUUUAUAGGUCAAGAAAAUGACGGUAGCCUAUGAAUAAGCA